ensembl:lncRNA
CAUUUUAUUCAUGUCUUUAUGUUCUUUGUUUCCAUCUUUGCACCGAUAUUCUAACUCUAUAGUCUUUGUGUUUUACUUUUUUCAUUGUAUCAGAGUGAAUACAGUCAUUUUAUACAAGUUUUUAUGUUCUUUGUUUCAGUGUUUGCAGGGAUAUUUUAACUAUAUUAUCUUUGUUUUAUACUGGAAGGCCAAAUAAUAUGUAUGCAUUAUUUUAAUGAUGCUGGUAUUCUCCUUUAACACACAAUCUAAUGCACUUAAACUCUGAUUAUUAACCUCGAAGCUGAUGCUUAUUUAAGUGUUUCAAAACUAACAUACACUGUUUGAUCCUAAAUGGCAAUAAAGAUCCAUUCCAGAGGUUUAUUUUAUGUCAUUUAAAUAUCACAGCUGUUGAACUUACUACAUUUGACUAUAAAACCCUUAGUUUAACUCUCUUUGUUUGGGGAAACCACAGAUUCAGGCUUGUUCUUGAGGCCAAAUUAGAUCCUCAGUCAGUAGAAAUAUUGUCACUGUCACCGUUACUGUAGUUGUUUCUGCAAAAAUGCAUCUACACUUUUUUUUGGUCUUUUCUGUUUUAUUUGGAACUGUGAUUGAGAGUUAUUUUAUUUGAUGUUCUGGAAUAAUUUCGCUUUAAUCUGCAUUAUGUUUGAGGUCACGAUGAAAUCAUGACAGUAGGAGUCUGAGCUUCAUGAGGAAAGUAAUCAUGUGUUGACUGAUAUGGAAAUACAUGUUUUGUCUUAUCAGUGGGUAAAAAGCAAGAAAGCGUUGAAAUCUGUGCAAGAUGUUGUUGAUGUUGAGCCUUUACGUCCAGAAACAAACACAGAUAUUAACCAGGGUUCUUAUUCUGCCUGGAAAUUGUUGAAUUCUGUUGGAUUCAUUAGAGUCCAGAUCAAUUCAGCUUCAUUGUCAUUGAUCAUUAGAACAUGGAAGUUUGUGUUUAUCAGGAUUGUGUGAGUUCAGAUUAAUGCAAAGAGACAUUACAUCAUGUUUUUGAUACCGAAUUCUGUUGUAGUCAGUGAUUUGUCUGCAUUAAAGUCGUUGUUACAUGCAGCUGCUUUUAUUUUGAAAGAAGUCAUCACGUCUACGAAUUCAAACCUUAUUUGAUGUUUGUCCAAGACUGGAUAAUCACUGACAAUACUUCACUGUACUGCCAUUGCCAAGCCCUGUUUGCUUAAAUAAUAAAUUAUGAAUUAUUUCUAUACUGUAAGACCUUUCAGCAUCCUGCACAGACUUUUGUAAAGCUUCUCCUUUUUCUGUAAUGAAUGAAUAAUUCCCAAUAAAUGAAUUUUCAACAUAGACCAAA